UCUAGCUGUUGAGUGAGGUGUGCUUUGACAUGGAUGGACUGGAAACCUGCAGGAUGAUGGACCUCCAGGAGCAGGGUCGGGCAGCCCUGCCACACGACCUUCAGGAGCCCAGGCCUGCAGGCAGCACACCUGAGGGAGACAGAUGCUCCGCUAGGUGAGGAGAAGAUGAAAGGACUCGACUCCAGGCGGCGGCGGCGUUGCGGACUCUGCUCUAACCCGACGCCUCGCUGAGAAAUGCCAGGAGGUAAGGUUCCGGAGGGGUUCUGGAGCCAGGAAGGUGACGGUACGCGUGAAAUAUGCUCAACAGCGGACGACAAAAAUAGCAGCCUGAAAAAAAAGAAAAGAACGGAAGACGUUGUUUUGAUGGUUCGAGCGACACUCUCCUCUCUCCGUGCUCGCAGUGUUUUUUUUUUUCACCAGUCCUUUUUUCCGAGGGGUUUGGUGAGAAACCGAGCAACACCAUUUUCCCCCACAAGGAGAAGCAGAAAGAGCAGCGAUCUGUAAACGUUACUGCCGACUGCUGUGAUUACAGUAUAAAUAGCAUGAAUAUGCAUCAGCA